rnacentral:lncRNA from 1 species
UGUUGCCAUCUUGGGUCUCAUUCUUGCCUCCUUUCUUGUUCUCUUUGUUCUUCUGGGUUUAUACUUUUUAAAAAAUUCUUUCCUGUUCCUUUUUUUUUUUUUUUUCUUGAGAUGGAGUCUCGCUCUGUCACCCAGGCUGGAGUGCAGUGGCACGAUCUUGGCUCACUGCAACCUCCGCCUCCUGGGUUCAAGCAAUUCUCGUGCCUCAGCCUCCUCAAUAGCUGGGAUUACAGACGCGCACCACCACGUCCAGCUAAUUUUUGUAUUUUUAGUAGAGAUGGGGUUUCACCAUGUUAGCCAGGCUGGUCUUGAACUCCUGACCUCAGGUGAUCCACCUGCCUCGGC